GAUGAAGAACGCAGCGAAAUGCGAUAAGUAAUGUGAAUUGCAGAAUUCCGUGAAUCAUCGAAUCUUUGAACGCACAUUGCGCCCCCUGGCAUUCCGGGGGGCAUGCCUGUCCGAGCGUCAUUUCUGCCCUCAAGCACGGCUUGUGUGUUGGGUGUGGUCCCCCCGGGGACCUGCCCGAAAGGCAGCGGCGACGUCCGUCUGGUCCUCGAGCGUAUGGGGCUCUGUCACUCGCUCGGGAAGGACCUGCGGGGGUUGGUCACCACUAUAUUUUACCACGGUUGACCUCGGAUCAGGUAGGAGUUACCCGCUGAACUUAAGCAUAUCAAUAAGCGGGGGA
rnacentral:misc_RNA from 1 species